rnacentral:rRNA from 1 species
AACGAACGCUGGCGGCAUGCCUAACACAUGCAAGUCGAACGAGACCUUCGGGUCUAGUGGCGCACGGGUGCGUAACGCGUGGGAACCUGCCCUUAGGUUCGGAAUAACUCCCCGAAAGGGGUGCUAAUACCGGAUAAUGUCUUCGGACCAAAGAUUUAUCGCCUUUGGAUGGGCCCGCGUUGGAUUAGCUAGUUGGUAGGGUAAAAGCCUACCAAGGCGACGAUCCAUAGCUGGUCUGGGAGGAUGAUCAGCCACACUGGGACUGAGACACGGCCCAGACUCCGACGGGAGGCAGCAGUGGGGAAUAUUAGACAAUGGGCGAAAGCCUGAUCCAGCAAUGCCGCGUGAGUGAUGAAGGCCUUAGGGUUGUAAAGCUCUUUUACCCGGGAUGAUAAUGACAGUACCGGGAGAAUAAGCUCCGGCUAACCCCGUG